GAUGAACGCUGGCGGCGUGCCUAAUACAUGCAAGUCGAGCGAACAGACGAGGAGCUUGCUCCUCUGACGUUAGCGGCGGACGGGUGAGUAACACGUGGAUAACCUACCUUUAAGACUGGGAUAACUUCGGGAAACCGUAGCUAAUACCGGAUAAUAUAUUGAACCGCAUGGUUCAAUAUUGAAAGACGGUUUUGCUGUAACUUAUAAAUGAACCCGCGCCGCAUUAGCUAGUUGGUAAGGUAACGGCUUACCAAGGGAACGAUGCGUAGCCGACCUGAGAGGGUGAUCGGCCACACUGGAACUGAGACACGGUCCAGACUCCUACGGGAGGCAGCAGUAGGGAAUCUUCCGCAAUGGGCGAAAGCCUGACGGAGCAACGCCGCGUGAGUGAUGAAGGUCUUCGGAUCGUAAAACUCUGUUAUUAGGGAAGAACAAAUGUGUAAGUAACUAUGCACGUCUUGACGGUACCUAAUCAGAAAGCCACGGCUAACUACGUG
rnacentral:rRNA from 1 species